rnacentral:tRNA from 1 species
GCCGGGAUGGUGAAAUUGGUAGCCACAGCGGACUUAAAAUCCGCCGGCCCGAAAGGGCCUUGCCGGUUCGAGUCCGGUUCCCGGCACCA